rnacentral:rRNA from 1 species
GCGAGUGAAGCGGCAACAGCUCAAAUUUGAAAGCUGGCUUAGGCCCGCAUUGUAAUUUGCAGAGGAUGCUUCUGGUGAGGUGCCUUCCGAGUUCCCUGGAACGGGACGCCAUAGAGGGUGAGAGCCCCGUAUGGAUGGACACCAAACCUGUGUGAAGCUCCUUCAACGAGUCGAGUAGUUUGGGAAUGCUGCUCUAAAUGGGAGGUAAAUCUCUUCUAAAGCUAAAUACCGGCCAGAGACCGAUAGCGCACAAGUAGAGUGAUCGAAAGAUGAAAAGCACCUUGAAAAGGGGGUUAAACAGUACGUGAAAUUGUUGAAAGGGAAGCGCUUGUGACCAGACUUGCGCCGGGCAGCUCAUCAGGGGUUCUCCCCUGUGCACUCUGCCCGGCUCAGGCCAGCAUCGGUUCUUGUGGGAGGAUAAGAACGGUAGGAACGUGGCCCCCUUUCGGGGGGGUGUUAUAGCCUACCGUACGAUACUCCCGUGGGGACCGAGGUUCGCGCUCCGCAAGGAUGCUGG